rnacentral:rRNA from 1 species
GGACCCGCACAAGCGGUGGAGCAUGUGGAUUAAUUCGAUACUAACCGAAGAACCUUACCCAGGUUUGACAUCGAUCGCAACAUCCAGAGAUGGGUGCCUCUUCCCAAAAGGAAGACGUGAAGACACUUGUUGCAUGGCUGUCGUCAGCUCGUGCCGUGAGGUGUACGGUUAAGUCCGCCAACGAGCGCAACCCUCGUCCUAUGUUGCCAGCGAGUAAAGUCGGGAACUCAUAGGAGACCGCCGGUGUAAGCCGGAGGAAGGUGAGGAUGACGUCAAGUCAGCAUGGCAGUUACGCCUGGGGCUUCACACAUGCUACAAUGGACGCAACAAAGGGCAGCAAUACCGCGAGGUGGAGCAAAUCCCAAAAAUACGUCCUCAGUUCAGAUUGCAGUCUGCAACUCGACUGCAUGAAGGCGGAAUCGCUAGUAAACGCAGGUCAGCUAUACUGCGUUGAAUACGUUCCCGGGUCUU